GCACACUGACAGGAAGGUGGAACAGAGGGAGGAAAGCAGGGGGAUAGUGAGGUAUAGUGGUGGCGGUUCUUCGGUGGGAGAAACGGUAGACCCGGGCAGUCGAAGCCGGGCUGCCUGCCCGACGAUACGGUCGCUCUGUUGGGGUGUCGUGGUAAUUUGUCUCUUUUUUUUUCCUCUGCACGCAAGCUGAGCUUGAUAUCGCCCGUUCAGGAGGUCGGUUUCCCUUCUCUUUCUCUCUCUCUGUCUCUCUUUCUAUCUCUUUCCCUCCUCUUUUCUCUCGCUUCCGGCGCGCACGUCUGUCGGAUCGUGUCUUACCGGGAGGGGAAAAAGUGGGCGCGCUACCUGUGUCAAGACAAUACCGGAGAGCACGUGCAUCCGUGCGAAAGGGAGCCGAAGAGCGCGCUCAAGGGAUCGUACACGCAUCCCUCCUACCCCCUUUUGGAAGCUCGUGCUGCCGACAAGUAACAGAAUCGCGUGACAGCACGAACCGGAACAGCACUCAUGUCGCUUUGAAGAAUGACGGCCGUCACAAGAGAUGCUUUCGCGGCAGGAGGGCGAGCCGCAUCACGGCUCCAUCUUAGACCAAUCAAGAUUCUGCAGUUCUAGAGACAUCAAGGAACUGUUGUGAGAUCGACGCUUACGAAUCAAUAGCAGGCACGGGCCUUUAUGCAUGAAAUUCAGCACCAGGAAGUGACGUGAGAGGUGCAACUGGGAUUUAGAAAUCCCCCGUCUCCUCUAUUAAGAAUAAGCGGGAUCGAAGCAGAGUCGUCAGGAUGUUGCGCAACAACGUAAUGUCCUUCAUGAAGAAGAUGGGAAUGACGCAACAGGAAACCGGUGCAUCAGGUCCAGUCACGCCGGAGGAAGGUGGAAAAACUUUAAGCAAGUUAUUGCAGCUGGGAAACAUCAUAACGGCGGGAAACGUGACAAAGCCGGCCAAGGUCACUCCGGUGGAGGACAUUCAGCCCAAAGAGGAUUCCACCACAAUUGAAUCUCUGAAACCAAAGUCAGAAACGGGCGGCAAGACAAGCAGCGGAGACGACUGCAGGGUAUGCCGGAAGUCGUUUGGCCCGGAGGAAGUCUCGCGAACUUGUUGCGAGUGUCAACAUAAGGUCUGCGAGGACUGCGCCUCGUAUUCGACGACAACGAAUUCCGACGAUCCGUCUUCCUGGCGAUGUAGCGUUUGCCGUCGAAAGAUUGCCUCGAGGGACCAGCCGAUAGUGACACAAGAAUCUACAGAUUCGAUGCUAGAUGUGCCGUGUUUGGAAACUCUUCACAGGAGGCACAGCGACGCCCGACUCGGUCCUUCUGGAAGUCAGAUAGGUGCACUUGGAAGUGGAUUGGCUCCACCGAGAAGUCCAGAAAUUCGAAGGCAUUCUGAUGUUUCGCCAGCUAGUCUCAAGGAAUUAGAGAAGUUUCGAAAGGUUGCAGGAGAACGUCAACGAGAGGAGCUCAGAUGGGAGCGCGACCUGGACCGGAAGAGCAAGUCGAGGGGCGGCUCGCCCGAUCGCCAUCAAGCCUCUGAUAGAGGGAGAGCGACCAGCCCUCAGAGAGUCGUCAUGCCGGCCCAGACGGGCGCGAUCGAGCAGGAAGGCGGUGAUCCGGACGACGAGGAGGAACGUCGUCGUCGCGCUCGUCGUGGAGGCGGUACGGUUCGCCGUAAAUCUCGUGUGACCAGGCAAAGGUCUUAUGACGAUGAAAUCAAAACGGCCGCGAUGGCUGCCGGUGGGGCGCAGCCCACGCAUCCUGACACCGGCCUAGGACUUCCGGUUCAAUUACCAAGGCGAGCGUCUGCCUACGACGUUUACGCUGUGCCCGGAAGUAGCGGCCUUAACGCAAUGGCCAUCGCCGCCGCCCAACAGAGAGCCUCCAUUUCGGCGCAAGGCACCCGAGAACCUGAAGAACGGCCUCGCAGGUCGUCUUUCCGCGCCGUGAAACCGGUGAUGCCAUACGACGUCGCGGCCGACGAUGAGAAGAUGAUUAAGCUAGACUCGUCAUCUGCACCUGCGGUUGCACCGCCUGUGUCCCAACCUGUUCUUGUACCCGACGAAGAGAGGCGCAAUCGACGAAGAGGCUCCCAAUUACCCGACAUAAACGCGAUAAGAGCGUUAACUUCGGCUCAACCAGGAGCGGCAAAAGGUGCCCCUGCAGCGGCAGUUAGCAGAGUUGCAGCUGAAGAACGCGAAUUGCCUAGGCAGGGAAGUCUGGUCGACGGGGAAGGCAUCAAAAUCGUUAUUCAUGAUGUCGAUAGUGAUCUUGCUCCCCGGAUGAAUGCGAAGAGAAGGGUAAAGCUGAGAAGAGAUCCAGUUAUGGAUAAAGGACACAGAACGCGUGGAUUUGGCAUGAGGGUGGUAGGCGGCAAGACCGGGUCGGACGGGCGCACCUUCGCGUGCAUCGUGUGGACUGUGCCGGGUGGCCCCGCCGAGAAAGCUGGCUUGCAACAAGGCGACAAGGUGCUAGAAUGGUCCGGCGUGUCUCUGAUCGAUCGGAGCUUCGAGGAGGUGCAGCAGAUAAUCGAACGGACCGACGACGUGGCGGAAUUGGUGGUGGAGCAUACGACCGAAAUUACCGGAGAUUUGCUGGACGAUCCGCAAGCCGGAAAAACACCUACAAAUUUGGGCCUGCUCAUGGAAACCGAAACGGACAAAGCGCCCUCGUCGCCGACGCGCAGGAAACUGCCAAAGACGCCGGAACAAAUAGCAAAGGAGAGGCAGGUGACCGGUCGAAUACAGAUCCAGGUUUCGUACGAGGCAGAACGCAAAGAAUUGGUCGUUUCGGUUUUUAUGGCCGACGACUUAUGUACGCGGGAAGACACCGGAUUCGGCACCUUACCGGAGGCUUUCGCAAAGCUUAUCCUUGCUCCGCCAUCCGGCGAGGCAGCUCCGCUGAAAACUAUCGUAGCUGAGCCGACCCAGAAACCCAUCUGGAACGCUACAUUGUUCUUUACUGGAGUUGAUGGCGAGAGCCUGAUGGAACGUGUGAUCGAGGUGACUCUUUGGGAUUACUGUCCCGAUGGCGAUAAUGUGUUCCUUGGUGAAUGCACUGUCGAUGUUCAGCGAGCGCUUGAAAAUGACAGAGCGGUUUGGUAUCGAUUGGAGGAUCCACGUGGACUUCGAACGGGCAAGUCGCCGUAUUGCUCGCCUCGCGGCUCGGUAUCGAUGGAUGUCGCUCAGAGAUUGUUCAGGAAAGAGCUGCGGGAUCGUAGCUACAGCGACGAUACGCAGAGCGACAGCGGCAGCCCGGAGUUCUGCUUUCUGCAUCCGGAUCAUGCCUGGCACAAUUCCAGACGCGGUUCCAGUCAGUCCGAGCAACUCGAGGUCGAGCCCUACGAGCUCAGCCGGGAUUACAGCAGAUCUCUGCCGGGUAGCCGCAGGAGCAGCUUCCAAAGUCAGGGCGGCACUGAUAGCAAACGGGGAAGCAUGUGUGAAGCCGAUGGGCCCGCGGUGUAUUAUAAUCGCGAUCGGCGGCGAAGCUCGUUCACCCGACCGAUGAGAGAUCCGGAAGAGAUCCUGGAGGGUCUACGGGCGUUGAAGGCGACCAAGGGCGAGCUUAACAGGACCAUGAGUCUCUCCGGUGACAAGAGACGCGGCAGCCUGCGAGCCUGUGUCUCCGAGGACCGGUAACUCGGCCUCCUUCCCAUUGCCGCACUCCACACCACCUCGAUAAAUAAUCGCAAGGCACUGUCAACCAACGUUACGGGCUUCCGGGCGGGGUGAGCGCAAAGACAGCGUCAUGGAGAUUCCUGAGAGAUUUUACGAUCGAAAUAGCGAAUCCGACGAAGACGAGAAAUGGAG
rnacentral:misc_RNA from 1 species